rnacentral:rRNA from 1 species
CAGUAGCCGCGGGAAUACGAAGGGUGCAAGCGUUACUCGGAAUUACUGGGCGUAAAGCGUGCGUAGGUGGUGGUUUAAGUCCGUUGUGAAAGCCCUGGGCUCAACCUGGGAAUUGCAGUGGAUACUGGGUCACUAGAGUGUGGUAGAGGGUAGUGGAAUUUCCGGUGUAGCAGUGAAAUGCGUAAAGAUCGGAAGGAACAUCUGUGGCGAAGGCGACUAUCUGGGCCAACACUGACACUGAGGCACGAAAGCGUGGGGAGCAAACAGGAUUAGAUACCCCUGUAGUCCCUGUCUCUUAUAC